GACAGAGGCCUCAAGCGUUAGGCGGAAUCACUGGGCUUAAAGCGUGUGUAGGCGGAUCGUUAAGUACCUUGUGAAAUCCCACGGCUCACCCGUGGAACUGCUGGGUAUACUGGCGGUCUUGGGCCAACUAGGGGCAGCUGGAACAAGCGGUGGAGCGGUGAAAUGCGUAGAUAUCGCUUGGAACGCCGGAAGGUGAAAACAGGGCUGCUGGGGUUGUGCCG
rnacentral:rRNA from 1 species